rnacentral:rRNA from 1 species
GACUAUGACCAUACCAGCCUGAAGACACCCAGUCUCGGAAGCUAAGUGGGGUCCGGCCUGGUUAGUACUUGGAUGGGAGAUAUAAUUU